ensembl:lncRNA
CUUCCACAAACAUCUACUUCAAAUUAUUGUUUCUGAGGGUGAUUCUACAAGUUAGUCAGUUGAGUUCUAGGAAAACAUUCUUCUGUGCAUAACUGCAUGUGCUGAAGUCAGAAGAGAGCCAGCGUUCUGAAAAUAUGUGCAUGUGUAUGGACGAAUUAAAUGCCUCGAUUCUGCCUCUAUCGGAUAUCGGAUUUCAGAAUCUUUAUUGUAAACUCCCUCCUCUCUGUCCACGUAGAAAUGAUUAUUUAGCAGGGAUUAUAUAAAUACUGGAGUGUUUCACAACCGCAUCACACUCCUCAGUUCACCAUGGACAGAAAAGUGCUGUUGCUCCUGUUGAGUCUGCUGGUUUUCCUGCUCAUCACAGCCUUCACUUCCACAGAUGCGGCCACUCUGCCAGACGAUCCUCAGAAACAAUCUCUGGAUGUGGGAAUAACCAGGGAUGACAGACGAAAGGAAAGAGAAAGAGUCAAACGACAGUCCUGUGCCUUAAGGCCUGGUGGAUGUUCCAUCCUCGGCCUACGGCCCAUGCCUAAUAUUCCUGGUUAUAAGAACGGUGAAACAACAUCAAAACCUCUCCAGGCCGUUCUGAAGAAAAACUGAAAUGUUGUUUUCGAUAUACAGGACAAAAAAAGUGAUCUGAAGAAAAGCCAGACGAAACACCGGAGAGCUGAAAACUGAGACCUUUACCGACUACAUCUUUUCUCUGAGAGACAUUUCUUUCCUUGUUAAAAGAAAUGUUUUUCAUUGUUUCCAUGUACUGUUAUGAAGGCAAUAACCAGUGAAGCUUUGCAUGAUUUAAGAAAUCCCUAUAUUCUUCACUGAUAUGUAUACUUUAGCUCCCUGUAUCUGCAUUAAAAAAUCAAUAAUCUUCAGUAUGCAUUUGCACUUAUCACACCUGACUGAAGGAAAGCAUUAAUCAUUCAAACUUGCAGAAAGGUUUUAGGGCGUUACUCAUGUUCUUCAAUGAAAUAAUACGCUUUCUUCAAGUGCUGCUGAUUUCACAACAGUUCACUUUGUGUAUUCUGUGCUGCAAAAUAAAGCUGACUGGAGUAGAAAUUUUCAUCUUUGUGCAUCAUCUUUAACGGUGAAUAGAAAGCCAUAAAGCAUUAAACUUAAAAAAGCUGUCAUCGUGCAGCGCUCAGCUGGGUCAGUAAAUCCUGUAGAGUUCUGCAUAGUUUUAAAAGCAAAGCCGUG